rnacentral:rRNA from 1 species
UACGGAGGGUGCAAGCGUUGUCCGGAUUUAUUGGGUUUAAAGGGUGCGUAGGUGGUUUGAUAAGUCCGGGGUGAAAGCCCACAGCUCAACUGUGGAACUGCCCUGGAUACUGUCAGACUUGAGGGUAGACGAGGUUGGCGGAAUAGAAGGUGUAGCGGUGAAAUGCAUAGAUACCUUCAGAACCCCGAUUGCGUAGGCAGCUGACUAGGCUACACCUGACACUGAGGCACGAAAGCGUGGGGAGCGAACAGG